rnacentral:rRNA from 1 species
GAUCCUGGCUCAGAUUGAACGCUGGCGGCAGGCCUAACACAUGCAAGUCGAACGGUAACAGGAAGCAGCUUGCUGCUUCGCUGACGAGUGGCGGACGGGUGAGUAAUGUCUGGGAAACUGCCUGAUGGAGGGGGAUAACUACUGGAAACGGUAGCUAAUACCGCAUAACGUCGCAAGACCAAAGAGGGGGGACCUUCGGGCCUCUUGCCAUCGGAUGUGCCCAGACGGGAUUAGCUAGUAGGG